rnacentral:rRNA from 1 species
UACGAAGGGGGCUAGCGUUGUUCGGAAUUACUGGGCGUAAAGCGCACGUAGGCGGACUAUUAAGUCAGGGGUGAAAUCCCGGGGCUCAACCCCGGAACUGCCUUUGAUACUGGUAGUCUCGAGUCCGGAAGAGGUGAGUGGAAUUCCGAGUGUAGAGGUGAAAUUCGUAGAUAUUCGGAAGAACACCAGUGGCGAAGGCGACUCGCUGGACAGGUAUUGACGCUGAGGUGCGAAAGCGUGGGGAGCAAACAGG